CGCGGGGUGGAGCAGCUCGGUAGAUCGUCGUGCUCAUAACCCGAAGGUCAUCAGUUCUAAGCUGGCCCCCGCAA
rnacentral:tRNA from 1 species